GAUGAACGCUGGCGGCGUGCCUAAUACAUGCAAGUCGAGCGAACGGACGAGAAGCUUGCUUCUCUGAUGUUAGCGGCGGACGGGUGAGUAACACGUGGAUAACCUACCUAUAAGACUGGGAUAACUUCGGGAAACCGGAGCUAAUACCGGAUAAUAUUUUGAACCGCAUGGUUCAAAAGUGAAAGACGGUCUUGCUGUCACUUAUAGAUGGAUCCGCGCUGCAUUAGCUAGUUGGUAAGGUAACGGCUUACCAAGGCAACGAUGCAUAGCCGACCGGAGAGAGGGAUCGGCCACACUGGAACGGAGACACGGUCCAUACGACUACGGGAGGCAGCAGUAGGGAAUCUGCCGCAGUGGUCGAAAGCCUGACGGAGCAACGCGGCGUGAGUGAUGAAGGUCUUCGGAUCGUAAAACUCUGUUAUUAGGGAAGAACAUAUGUGUAAGUAACUGUGCACAUCUUGACGGUACCUAAUCAGAAAGCCACGGCUAACUACGUG
rnacentral:rRNA from 1 species